GACCUAGUGGUGAGAGGUCUCGCACCCGUGUCAAUUUAUCGCGGUGUAAACUUGCGGGGGUUCAAUCCUGGUUCGAUUCCAGGCUGGGUCA